rnacentral:lncRNA from 1 species
AAGGGGAUCUAGUGUGGACUCAGGUUCUGAUCCCUUAGAUUCAAACAAUAUUUCCACACAGUCAAUGAUGUCAGAUUCGAUGUGUUUCAGAUUUGUACGGUUGGCUCAAUCAAUUUCACACAAACAUAUAACAUAUAACAUAUAACAUAUAACAUAUAACAUAUAACAUAUAACAUAUAACAUAUAACCAUCCAUUCAAUUACUCCCCCAAACAAAAUAAUUCAAUCAAUAAAUCACUUGUAUCAAAAUCAAACUUUAUUUUUUCUUUAAAACUUUUGAACUAUAUAAAAUAAGGACACAAUAUGCUAAUCUUUUUAAAUCAUAUUUCACUUCUCCUACUUUUUAAACUACAUAUUUUUAAAAUAAACCUUUCAAUCUACUUAUCUAUCUAUCUACAUCUGAAUUUCAUCAAAAUAAUCCAGUCAUUUAUGUUAUCUUAUUUUUAAUUUUCAUCCAAUAUUUACUUUCACUUUCAUUUAAACUUAUAUACCUUCAUGCUACUUCAAAUUAAAAUUAGUUGUUUUUCAAAAGUUCAAUUACCAAAAUAAAAAUUUGAAAUUUUCAUAUAUCAAACAAUAAAUUACACGUUUUAAUUUUAGAGAUCAUGGUAAAACAAACCAUAUGAUUAAAGUUGAGAACUAAAAUAAGAUUUAAACAUAUGUAACUUUUAUUCCUUUUUGCCACAUAAAAUUCUACAAUAACGGUAUUAGCUUUCGUAUAUUCCAAACAUUUUUAUAUU